rnacentral:rRNA from 1 species
GUUGCUCAUAGUAGGGUAAACCAGGUACUUUUAGACUGAAUACAUAGGUUUAAAAGAGCAAACCCGGGGAACUGAAACAUCUAAGUACCCGGAGGAAAGGAAAUCAAUUGAUACUCCGCUAGUAGUGGCGAGCGAACGCGGAUCAGCCGAGCCAGAUAAGUGACCAGAACAUGUUGGGAAGCAUGGCCAUAGCGGGUGAUAGCCCCGUAUGGGAAGCUUUGAUGGACGUAUUAAGUAGGGCGGAACACGUGAAAUUCUGUCUGAAGAUCGGAGGACCACCUUCGAAGGCUAAGUACUCCUUACUGACCGAUAGUGAACCAGUACCGUGAGGGAAAGGUGAAAAGCACCCCGACGAGGGGAGUGAAACAGUACCUGAAACCGAACGCCUACAAUCAGUUGGAGGGCCCUUGCGGCCUGACAGCGUACCUUUUGUAUAAUGGGUCAUCGACUUGGUCUAUCUAGCAAGCUUAAGCCGUUAGGUGUAGGCGCAGCGAAAGCGAGUCUUAAUAGGGCGAAUGAGUUAGGUGGAUCAGACCCGAAACCGAGUGAUCUAGGCAUGAUCAGGAUGAAGGUUAGGUAACACUAACUGGAGGUCCGAACCCACAUCUGUUGAAAAAGAUCGGGAUGAAUUGUGCCUAGGGGUGAAAGGCCAAUCAAACUCGGAGAUAGCUGGUUCUCUGCGAAAUCUAUUUAGGUAGAGCGUCAUCCGAAUACCCUCGGGGGUAGAGCACUGGAUGGGUAAUGGGGCCUUACCGGCUUACUGAUCCUAACCAAACUCCGAAUACC